rnacentral:sRNA from 1 species
CCCUUUCCUACUUCACCGGAUCUGUGCCAGACGUCCUCUGCCUCGUGUGGAGUUGAUAUCUGUGCAGCUCGAUAACUCAUGGAGCCAUCAACUUGUUAUGAUGUCAAUUUUCCUAUCGACAGGUCCCAGAAUGAUCGGGAGUAUGGUCGCAUCGCUCGUCGUCCUCCGUGGCGGCUGAUGCGGUGAUCCACGGCCAUGCUUCCAGAGCGCUAUAUUUCAAACCUCUUUUCCUAGGUCGUUGGCCUAUGCGGUUGGGGAAAACCAUGGCGCCUCACAUGC